rnacentral:pre_miRNA from 1 species
AUUCUACUCCCUCCGUUCGGAAUUACUUGUCGUAGAAAUGGAUGUAUCUAGAUGUAUUUUAGUUCUAGAUACAUUCAUUUCCGAGACAAGUAAUUCCGAACGGAGGGAGUACUUG